rnacentral:lncRNA from 1 species
CAGGAAUCCGGUGCCUGCCACGAUCAGCUGAAUGCCUCCUGGUGUUAAUGUAAUGAGAGUUCAGAUAAAUGAGGCCACCACCGCUGCUUCUGAACACAGCAGAAGGGGAGAAGGGAUUUAUGAGGAAUGACAAAAAAAGAGCUUGUUAGGAGUCAAACAAAAUAAUAAGUCCAGCACUAGAGCUCCUCUCAUCGCCAAAGCAAAGAUGGCCCUGAUGAGCAGGCCAAGGGCUGCUCUGAAGACAAAGGGGUCACCAAGGAGUCAAGAGAGAAGGAUCCUGGCAGGAUAAAACUCGAAAGAGGUCCAGCGUUUCCAGUGGUAGGAGCAGCACCAGGUGUCGGUCCAGCGCAGGCUCCAGCAGCCGCUCUAGCGCCUGGCAGCAAGCUGCUCAGGAAGCUGCGGCACAUUCUGCAGCCCCAGCACCUGCAGUUCCUCUGGCCUUCAGACCUGACAACAGGCGGCGUUCCUGCCCCAUACCCAUACCCCGAAAAAGAGAUGGAAAGGAAAGGAAACCCACUGAAGUGCACACUGGGAGGCUCCCCAGGAAGGUGACCAUGGAUCCCAUUGUGGAGAUAUUCUCUACCCAGGGAAAAUUUAAAUGAUGGACAUGCCUGUAGAAAAGAUGCACCCUUAUGGGUCUAAAGGCUACGCAUACGUGGAGCUUGAGAAUCCAGAUGAAGCAGAGAAGGUGUUGAAGCACAAAUGGAGGACAAAUCGAUGGCCACCACUGUGCUGGUCCCCUAGCCUGGGCCACCCUUGGGGAAUUCUGCCCUUCCAGGAGAACGUGGCACAGGUCACCCCCAUCGAUGAGGAGGUCACGCGCCCCUCCUUGCAGGUUCCCCUGACUAUUCCAGUGGCCACAGGAGCCACUCCAGCUCCACCUCCUCUGACAAGCAGGGCUACUGAAGCUUGACCACUGUGACUCGUAUCCCAUCGAACUCACUUCUGUCACUUUUCUGGAUGAAGGAGUAGCAACAGGAAAGAGGUCCCUCACUCAGGGACAGGCUCCAAAGGUGAGGGCAGCAACUGAAACAUUUCCUUUGGGGCAGAGUUCCACCUGCAGAAAGGCUGUUGGUUUGGGGUCGUGCCUAUAAAGAGGCCCUCGUUUUCUAGCUAGAAAAUGUGGAGACCUCAUGUUUCUAGUUCCUGAGAGUCAGUCUGGUGGCAAAGCUAGCAGGGAUGAGCAGGGGGCUCCAGGUGGUGGUACAGUCUCAGCCUGGGAGCAGGUUUUUCUAUUCCACAGAUGACCUGGGGCCAGUCUGGUGGCCAGGUCUAUGCUCUAAGCUGUCGGUCUCCCAGAAUUCCUCAGGAAAGGGUGUGCUUUCAGGCAGCUGCCGUUCCUGUUAGCCUGGCCCUGUUCCCCUGCUUGAGUCUCCUUCUGACCUUAGGGUCAGAUACCCUCCUUUAUCAGCCCCAAAUGGUUCUUUUCACAUGUACUAAAUGCACAUGCAUGCACACACUCAGCCCAUGUCUCCCUCCCCUGCUUUUUCUGAAACUGGUGAGCAAGCUGAGAGCCAGCUCUGCCAGGUCAUCACGGGAUCUUGUGUUGUGUAUUCAUGGUGGUCUUGCAGGUUACCUUGGCAACAUGUUCAUUGCUUUUUGGCUUUUAUUGUACAGUGAAUGUUAUAAAUUUUGUUCUGAGUUUUGUAACUUUGCAGCAUUUUAGAUAUCGUUGUGCCUGCACUUUGCUGUAUAGAGUAAAAGGUUUGUAUUGAAUAAACCCAGGAUUAGAGUGCAAAAAAAAAAAAAAAAAAAAAAAAAAAAGGGAAAAGUAAGAGGGAGAUUAUUUUGCACUUUCUCCAAGCUGUGUGGUGUUUAUGUACAAGAAUAAUAACUACAUACAUUUACUCCAUGUCAGGCACUGAGCUAUGGUACUGUAGAUAUAUUUCAUCCUUACAACCAUCCUAUGAGUAGUUACUAUUAUUAUCCCAUUUUAAAGAUGAAGCAACUGGAGCAUGAAGCAGCUAAAUAACUUAACCAUAGAUAAGAAAACCUAUGAAGUGCCAAAGCCAGGACUCCUGACUUUUUUCCUCUGAGCUCUUCUUGCUAACCAAGCCUUCCUCUUUUAAACUCAGACCGGCCUUUACAGCUUUCAGCCAAGAAUUUCUCCAGCUUCUUAGGUCUGAAGUAUUAGGACUCUCAACGAUGGUAGCAGAAACAGGAACUGAAAAUAAGACAUUAUUCAACAAUACACGGCUUUCUGUUGACUCUUAGCAUUAGAGAAUCUUUAGGUGGUGAUCUCCCAAGGAAUCUGGAUUCACUCCUCAGUCUGCUAUUUACCGUGUGAUCGCGGGAAAGGUCCAAGACCUCUCUAAGACUCCUCAAGAAAGAAUCACCUGCUCUGUUUAUCUGAGGAGAUUGUCAUGAGAAUCAGAAGUGCAUAAGCAUUAGCGUGACCUCUGGGACCACUCUGAAGACUUUUUUAAAGUUCUUCAAAUGGUUUGGAUCAAUGCAGCUGCCAGAUAAACAAAGUGUUACCCACUACAAUAAAGCAGAUAGUCCUGGGACUGGAUCAGAUCCUGGAUUGCAGAGAAUAUUAAUAGCCACUCUUGCUUUGCAUGUGAGCCUAUGUAAAGCAGCUCAUGUGAUUUCUGUCUGACUCAGAUGCUCAGUGAAUGGUGCCUUUCCUUGGCCCUCCACCCCCACCCCUCCCCUGCCUUUGUGCUUUUAUGGGUGAAUUACAAGGGACUUGAUAUUCCAGAGGUUAAGGAAUAGCCUAGUUAGGAAUGGAACAAGAACGGCCUGGUAAUCCCCCAACUCAGGAUCGUUGGGGAUCAUGAGCAAGACUCACAGCCUCCCUGUGACUUUUUUUUCCAGCCCCCAAAGAGGCUGAUUCCUUUGUUCAGGGUACACCAUGGAGUCCUGCCAAAUGCAAAUAAACUGUCUAUGGGGCACAUGCCAAGCUAUGCUGGGAGCAGGCUCAUUACUGCCACAGUCACUACAACAAAUAACAACAAAAGCCUCUAGGUGCAAAUUAGCACACAUAAUAAACUUAAUUCAAGAAACACUGAAGAGAUCCUUAGUUGCAUUUUAAUUUACAUGGCACCAUUUAUCACGCAAGUGCCCUGGGGCCUCUGCAAAUUGAAAAUAAGACAUCGGUACAGAUUAGCUUCUACUAUGCCUCAGUGAUCUUACCAACUUAAAUCCACUAUCAUACACGCAUACACAUGUGUGUACGCGGAUGCACACUGACACUCACCCACACACAGUGAAGGGAAUGUAGAGAAGCUUGCAGAAAGAGUAACUAAGAGAGCUCAGUCUCGAAGUUAUGAGAGAAGUCUCUGUUCUAGCCCUAACUGGAUUAUUCCUUAGCCUCUGGACUUAGAAGUAUCAAGACUCAUGUAAUUCACUCAUUAAAGCACAAAGCCAGGAGGGGAAGUAAAGGAGUCAUCCAUGGCCCCCCUGAGUCGGAGAGGCAUCACAUGAGGUACUUUACAUCGGACUCACAUGUAAACGGGAGUAGUUGCUAAUAUUCCCAACAGUCUGAGGCAACAUUAUUGUGAUGGAACUUUCAAGCUGCUUCUGCAAAGUAACAGCCAGUGUGUUACAAGAGGGACAAAGCACCAGCAUAAUAAUGGCUGGCACGUGAGCAUCAAUAUGAUGUGUCAGUAUGGUGCUAAACUCUGCUCACGUACACUGAUUGUCAGUACUCACAGCCACCUGGGAAGUACAUGAUAUUAUCUUCAUUUUGUGGAUGAACAAACUGAGUUGUUUCAAGUGGGAAGCAUCUUUCCUGGUCAGUCACCCAGGUCAAGUCCCACCUCAAUCGUCUAUCUGGGUGACCUCAGCCAAAGCCCUCAACGCUGCUGUGCUUUAGCAUCCUAACAGUGAAAUGGAGCUAAGACCAGUCCUCCCUGCCACUCAUAAAAUGUUGCAAGGGCUACAUGUUAACAGAAUAGGAAAGGGCAGGUAAAAGUAUCUCGUCCUUUCCUAAGUAGACUGCCAUCCAUGGCAGGCAGGAACCAUGUCACAUGAUCUUUUAAAAUCCCUCCAAGUCAGGCGGAAAUGCACAUGCUGGAUGGUUAUGCGUUCAUAAUCACUAUGAACAAAAACUGUCCAGUCAUCUUUUCACCAUAUUUACUGAGCACCCACUUCUGUUGGUGGCACGUGCCACAUGCUGUGGCGAUGUAGAGAUGAACAUGGGGCCCCCGGAAAACACAGCACUGCACUAGAGGCAGCGAGACUAAAAUGACCUUGUGGUUAAAGUUAGGACUUGUUUCUGGAGCCCUGAGACCAACACAGCUCAAGUACAGGUUCAUGGUGGCUGAAAGGAAAUCACACAGAGAAGGCUGAGAAGACAGGUUGGGACAGACUAAAUGACCCUCCUAAAAGAAUUUCACCAGAGUCAGCAAACUGAAGGAGCUACCCUAGGAGAAUCAGAGAAGUACAGACAGCCGAGGGAAGAGGAGAGUCAAGGGGCAGAAGUAGAAGUGCCCUCAAGUGCCCCCAGAAGCUACUGAGUCCCGCUCAGGGCUAGCUGCCUGUGCAGUUUAUCUUCCUCCCUCUCCAUUCCCUUCUUCCCCUCACUUUACAUCAUAAAUGGUCUUUUUCCCCUUCUUUUAUGCCUGUGGCUUACCUAGGUUACCAAGGGCCCAGAAAUAAUUCAACUUCUGUUUUCUCAUCUAUAAGACAGUCAUAACACAUCCCAGGAUUAUCAUGCCUAUAAAAUGAUGGAACAAAUGGUGAUGGGAAAGCAAGAAUGAACAUGGACUUCAUAAACCAUGUACAAAAAAAUUAACUAAAAAUGGAUCAAAGACUUAAAUGUAAGAUCUAAAACUACAAAAGCUCUUAGAAGAAAACAUACAGGGAAAGCUCCAUGAUGUUGGAAUUGGCAAUGAUUUCUUGGCUAUAACCCCAAAAGCACAGGUAACCGAAUAAAAAAAAUAGGUCAAGUGAACUAUGUAAAAAUUAAAAACUUCUGUGAAUCAUAGGACACAAUCAAAAAACCAAAAAGACAACCCAUGGAAUAAGAGAAAUAGCUGCAGAUCAUAUAUGUGAUUUUAAGGGGUUAAUAUCCAGACUAUAGGAAGAACUGUUACAACUCAGCACAGCAACAAAAAUAACCUGAUUAAAAUACAGGCAGAGGAUUUGAAGAGACAUUUCUCCAAAAAAGAUAUUCAAAUGGCCAAUAAGCACCUGAAAAAAUCCUCAACAUCACUAAUCAUUAUGAAAAUGCAAAUCAAAACCACAGUGAGAUACUACCCCACAUCCACCGAGAUGACUGCUUUCAAAAAAAUGGAAAAUAACUAGCGUUGUUAAUGAUGUGAAGGAAGUGGAACCCUUGGGCACUGUGGUGGGAAUGGAAGAUGGUUCAGCUACCAUGGAAUACAGUCUGGUAGUUCCUCAAAAAAAUUAAAAAUAGAAUUUCCAUAUGACCUAGCAAUCCCACUUCUGAGAUUAUACCAAAAAAAGAACUGAAAGCAGGGUCUUGAACACUAUGUGUGUACCCAUGUUCACAGGAGCAUUAUUAUUCAAAAUAACCAAAAGGUGGAAGCAAUCCAGUGCCCUUGCAUGGAUGAGUGGAGAAAUAAAAUGUAGUAUAUACAUACAACGGAAUAUUAUUCAGCCUUGAAAAGGAAGACCAUUCUGACACAUGCUACAACAGGGAUGAACCUUCCAAUUUUAUCCUUAGGAAAUAAACCAAUCACAAAAAAGACAACUCCUGUAUGUUCCACUUAUAGGAAGUACGUAGAGACGUCAAACGCAUAGACACAGCAAGUAGAUGGUAGCUGUCAGGGGCUGAGGGAAUAGGGAGUUAUUGUUUAAUGGGUACCCAGCUUUGGUUUUGCAAGAUGGAAAGAGUUCUAGAAUGGGUGGUGGUGAAGGUUGCACAACAGUGUGAAUUUAAUUAAUGCCACUGAACGUGUACACUGAACAACGGUCUGGUUGGUAAGUUUUUUAUGUGGGGUAUUUUACUAUAAUUUCUGGAAAAGGAGUAAGUUUCUAAAAAUAAAAAUAAGUUAAUACAUAUAAAGAAUCCAGAAAAAAAAAAAACCCAACACAACAAAAGCACUUGGCAAUGAACCUUAGUUCCUUCCUCUCCUGCUGAUGCAAUCCUUUAUUUCAAGGUUCUUUUCUACUUACCUAAGGGGUUCAGACUGCAUCAGGUUUUCCUAGCUCUGCCAUUAAAUUUGGCUGUGCAACACAGGGAAAGCUCCUUCCCUCACUGAGCUUUGGGAUUUUUUUAAAUCAUUUUUUUUUUAAAGAGGAAAAAAAGGAUUAUACUUCGUUUCCUUUCAGAUCUAAAAAGUAGAACCCACUGAAGGUUAAAGAGAUCAAGAACAGGCUGCAGAAAGGAAGGAAAUGAAUUAUAUUUGAGCACAUAUUAUGUGCAAAAUAUUGUGGUAGGGGCUGGGGGAUUCACAAAUACAAAUACCCAACAGGAAGGAUAACUCCUGAUUUGGGGAAAACGAACGUUGAUCUCACCACCUAUGGCACAGGUUACAGGAGAGAGAGUGGUGAACUGCUAGGGGAAAAUCGAGGAAAAUCCACCAAAGAGGUGAUCACUGAGGGACCCUGAUAUUUGAGGAGGGAGGUGAGGCAUUAGAAAGAGUUAAGUAGGUUGAACAGAGGCAGAAGGGCAAGCAGGGCAGAAGGAUCAAGACGAGCCCCUUGGAGAGAAUGGAUGCACGGGUCAGGGCAGAGUCCAAAGGAGAGGUGGAAGCCAGACUGAAAAAGCAGCUUGGGGUCGUGGUACUAAACGCCAAAACAGCUGGGCAGAGGGACCUGGAGUUUACGCUGAAGGCAGUAGGGAAGCAGUGACAGUUGAAACUGGAAUGACAAGACCCGACGUGCACGUCAUAGAAAUAUUACUUUGGCAACGGUGCACUAGAGGGCAGAUUAAGGGAGACAGGAAGCUAUUGCCGUCGCCCAGACAAAACAGGAUGAGGGCCUGAACCACAGCAGGGGCCGUGGCAGUGGGCAAGGGCAGGGAAGAAAGCUUUCUUUGCUUCAUGCAGCUCCCAUAGAUAAAGGCAGGAAUGGUGAACUCCAGAAGGUUGGCUCUUACACAUUACAGACCUUGAACCACGUUCUUAAUUCUAAACAGUUUUUGACUAAUUCUGAAUGUCCCCAGGUCCAGGGCAAUCACUCAAAGGGAGGAAACUGGCAUAAAAGUUAAUCUGUUUCAGCUGCUAGGCUGCCCUCACCCCUGCCCCCCUUCUCAACAGAAAUAAUGCAAGGCAGCAAUGGAAAAAGGAGCAUCUGGCUGCAGUAAAGACCCAUCCCUUCCCAUGCUGGAGCUGUUGGCUCAUCCUUGGAAAUCACAACAAUCAAGAAUGGAGAAUCGUUCUUUUCAUCCCUUCUCACAGCAUUAUCCCAGCAGCCUCAUCCCCUAACAAUGGUGUGGUUUGUGUUAUGUUUUCCCUCCACCACUGCCCCCCACCCCCCCGCAACGGCACAACAGAGAUGCUGUGCCCCAGGGGCCACUGAGGUUGUGAGCCUCACAGCCUCUGAACAAGUCUUUGAGGGGUAGGAUGCUCCUUCAGAAAGAGCUGCUUGAAGCACUCACUGGAUUAAGAAGAUUUAACAACAUUAACUAAAAAGCAUGGGGAAGCCCAUUCCCCCUCCUCCUCUAGUAAACUAGCAAAAAAGAUUUUAAUGACAUUUCCCAGGGGUGGUCAGUGUGUGAUUAAACAGACACCCUUGUCCAUUGCUCCAAGCUAUUUGUUGAUAUGAUGUGUUUGGAAAACAAUUUGGCAGUAUUUCAAAAGCCUGAAAAAUGUUCAUCUCCUUUUGCCCAAUAAAUCUCAUUUCUGGCAAGUGACGAAGGGAAUAAUUCAAAGAAAAGAAAACUCUAUAUGCGUAAAGAUACGAAGUACAGCACUAGAAGGGAAAAAAAGUGGUAAAGUUUCUAUUCUUCAGAAUUUUUUUCUCCCAUACGCUCUGUAAUGGUGGUGACCUCUAUGGCUCUUGACAGAAUCAGAUUAAACAACAGAAACUAUAAUCUCUCUUUCACCUUCAUAUACAUCUCAAAGAAUACUUGCUGUAGAAAAACCACAUAAUUAACCAAACUCACCAACAAUUACAUUAGAGGCUUUCUACUCAUUUUAUAGGAUAACGAAUUAUUAUUAAAAAUUCAUUUAACAUAAUUGGAAUUCCCAUCGUGGCGCAGCAGAAACGAAUCUGACUAGGAACCAUGAGGUUGCGGGUUCAAUCCCUGGCCUCGCUCCGUGAGUUAACGAUCCAG